UGGGAGUAAGUGUUACGGAAGCACGCCGGUCUCCAAAACCGGAAGCGCAGGUUCGACACCUGCACACUCAGCAA
rnacentral:tRNA from 1 species